rnacentral:rRNA from 1 species
AUACGGAGGGUGCAAGCGUUAUUCAGAAUCACUGGGCGUAAAGGACGCGUAGGCGGGUUGGCAAGUCAGAUGUGAAAUCCUACUGCUUAACUGUAGAACUGCAUUUGAAACUGCUAACCUAGAGUAUGGGAGGGGGAGAUGGAAUUAGUGGUGUAGGGGUAAAAUCCGUAGAUAUCACUAGGAAUACCGAAAGCGAAGGCGAUCUCCUGGAACAUAACUGACGCUAAGGCGUGAAAGCGUGGGGAGCAAACAGGAUUAGAAACCCUAGUAGUCC